GAUGAAGAACGCAGCGAAAUGCGAUAAGUAAUGUGAAUUGCAGAAUUCAGUGAAUCAUCGAAUCUUUGAACGCACCUUUCGCCCUUUGGCUAUUCCGAAGGGCAUGCCUGUUUGAGUAUCAUGAACACCUCAACUCUCAUGGUUUGCCAUGAUGAGCUUGGACUCUGGGGGUCUUGCUGGCCUAUGGUCAGCUCCUCUCAAAUAAAUCAGCUUGCCAGUGUUUGGUGGCAUCACAGGUGUGAUAACUAUCUACGCUUGCGGUUUUCCAUCAGGUAACCUUCAGUGAUGGAGGUUCGCUGGAGCUCAUAAAUGUCCCUCCUCAGCGAGGACAGCUUUUUGAACGUUUGAUCUCAAAUCAGGUAGGACUACCCGCUGAACUUAAGCAUAUCAAUAAGCGGAGGA
rnacentral:misc_RNA from 1 species